rnacentral:misc_RNA from 1 species
AAAAUAAAACUUGAUAGGCUAAAUUAUUUUCUGAUUAAAAAUAUAGUUAAAGGCACUUGGUAUUUUUGUUAAAUUAAUGGAAACUUAAUUGAGAUUCUAACGAUAUGGACUAACUUGCAAGUUUAUUCAAAUGUCAGGCUUGGUUUUAAAAGUAAAGCCACUAAGUUGUUGGUUAAGCAAACAUAGGGACCAAAUUGUAGU